ensembl:lncRNA novel transcript
ACACUCUCUCUUUCUCAUUCUCCUUUCCCUCCUCUCCAUCUCCCUAUUGCAUUGUGUCUGACUGAUUUUCAGAGCACCUUCGCUGUUUCCCCCUUCUCGUUCCCUUCUCAUAAAAUAUCUAGACAGGAAGGAGGUGGCUGCAGAGGCUGAACAAUCUCAUAUUCUGCCUGCAAUGUCAUCGUUUCUUUCCCCCAUUUUAGGGGGCUGAAGUUGCCCAGCAAGGGAUGCAGAGGAGCUGGAAAAGAAGGGGGGAGCUCUCCAGAGGCAGCUGCGGUCAGGGGCAGGGACUGCCGCCAGAUGUGCCUGCCUUUCUGGGCUUUGAUGAGAAAGGGGCAGCAGGAGGAAAUAUUGGGAGACAAAAGCCCCGGUUUAAAUGAUCAUUUUCUUUAUUUAACAUGGCAGCAGACACUCUCUGCGUAGGAUCAUCAUGCCGAGCAUAAACUGGACUUUCCCACUUGCCUGGCAGGAGUCACACAGAUCCCUGCGUGCUAAAUGAACAUCUGAGACCCUUGAAUCCUGACUAUUGGAGAAACAGCACCAUAUUUUGGAUACUGAUUCAGACCAUAUACAGCCUUCUGGAGAAUCUUGCCCCAGUCCUGAAAGGUUUUGGUAUCAGGAUGAUGCUGGCAUCAUAAAAUGAGUAUUUUUCUUCAGACUUCAGACUGCUGUGCUGGAAGCAAGAAUUUCAAGCAUUGGAUCUUAGCUUGCUGGGCUCCAUAGGGGUGGGAUCCACUGAGCUAGACCACUUGGCUCCCUGGCUUCAGCCCCCUUCCAGAUGUCCUUGGCGUGUACACCCUGUGGAAUCUGGUUCAUCUUCAAUCUGUCAGAAGGCAUCAGAGGUGGUUUUGACUCCUUAUGUCUUGGACCUGUGCACAAAAAGUGUAAAAUGGAUGGAACAUCAGACAGCUCAUUAUAGAGACAAGUAAGCUCCAGUUCCAAAGUUGGUUGACAGAACAAGUCAUGACCUUGUGUGGAGGAAAAUGAGAUCCCGAGUGAAGUCUACAAUGUCAUUGACUCUGAAGAAGGACUCAGAGACCCAUUGGUGUUUAAUGACCCUUACUGGCCUAUGCAAUGGAAACUGAUCUUGAGUGUGCCUUAAAAUUCCAUUUCAUGGAGAACUGUGCGUGGUUGAAUUUUGAUUGAUUACUCAAUUAACUGAUGUAUUGGUAGAGUGAUUAAGAAAGAAGACUUUGGGAUCAGACCAACCUGGUUUUGAAUUCAAGCUCAGCAACUUACUAGGUGAGUAACCUCUAAACCCACAUUAAGCCUUUUUUCUAUCCAUAAAAUGGAGAUACUAACAUUGCUUGUCUUGUUUGGCUGUUAUGAUGACAAAAUCAGAAAAUAUGAAUAAAA